rnacentral:rRNA from 1 species
AGAGUUUGAUCAUGGCUCAGGACGAACGCUGGCAGCGUGCCUAUACAUGCAAGUCGAACGAACUCUGGUAUUGAUUGGUGCUUGCAUCAUGAUUUACAUUUGAGUGAGUGGCGAACUGGUGAGUAACACGUGGGAAACCUGCCCAGAAGAGGGGGAUAACACCUGGAAACAGAUGCUAAUACCGCAUAACAACUUGGACCGCAUGGUCCGAGUUUGAAAGAUGGCUUCGGCUAUCACUUUUGGAUGGUCCCGCGGCGUAUUAGCUAGAUGGUGAGGUAACGGCCCACCAUGGCAAUGAUACGUAGCCGACCUGAGAGGGUAAUCGGCCACAUUGGGACUGAGACACGGCCCAAACUCCUACGGGAGGCAGCAGUAGGGAAUCUUCCACAAUGGACGAAAGUCUGAUGGAGCAACGCCGCGUGAGUGAAGAAGGGUUUCGGCUCGUAAAACUCUGUUGUUAAAGAAGAACAUAUCUGAGAGUAACUGUUCAGGUAUUGACGGUAUUUCACCAGAAAGCCACGGCUAACUACGUGCCAGCAGCCGCGGUAAUACGUAGGUGGCAAGCGUUGUCCGGAUUUAUUGGGCGUAAAGCGAGCGCAGGCGGUUUUUUAAGUCUGAUGUGAAAGCCUUCGGCUCAACCGAAGAAGUGCAUCGGAAACUGGGAAACUUGAGUGCAGAAGAGGACAGUGGAACUCCAUGUGUAGCGGUGAAAUGCGUAGAUAUAUGGAAGAACACCAGUGGCGAAGGCGGCUGUCUGGUCCGUAACUGACGCUGAGGCUCGAAAGUAUGGGUAGCAAACAGGAUUAGAUACCCUGGUAGUCCAUACCGUAAACGAUGAAUGUCUAAGUGUUGGAGGGUUUCCGCCCUUCAGUGCUGCAGCUAACGCAUUAAGCAUUCCGCCUGGGGAGUA